rnacentral:rRNA from 1 species
GAUGAACGCUGGCGGCGUGCCUAAUACAUGCAAGUCGAACGCUGGAGAUCUAGCUUGCUAGAUCGAAGGAGUGGCGAACGGGUGAGUAAUACAUAAGCAACCUACCCACGAAGACUGGGAUAAUCUCUGGAAACGGGGACCAAUACCGGAUAGGUAAUCGGAAGGCAUCUUCUGGUUAUUAAAGGUUAAAAACACUGGUGGAUGGGCUUAUGGCGCAUUAGUUAGUUGGUGAGGUAACGGCCCACCAAGACGAUGAUGCGUAGCCGGCCUGAGAGGGUGAACGGCCACAUUGGGACUGAGACACGGCCCAGACUCCUACGGGAGGCAGCAGUAGGGAAUUUUCGGCAAUGGGGGCAACCCUGACCGAGCAACGCCGCGUGAGUGAAGACGGCCUUCGGGUUGUAAAGCUCUGUUGUAAGGGAAGAACGGUAGAUAGAGAAUAUCUAAGUGACGGUACCUUACCAGAAAGCCACGGCUAACUACGUG